UUGUCCAUAUGAACCACAAAACUGCUUUGAACACAAACUGCCCUCCUUUGUUAAAGCUGCUUAGAGCUGUGUGGUUGAACCAGUCACUCGUUCAAGCUGGCAACGGUUUACUUUGACCGACUGUUUUCUAAACUCCUCUAAAUUUUGGCUUAGGGCUCUUUCAGCCCUCAUUCCGUCAUUCAGUUUUUUCAUCCUCAUUCAGUCUUCACUCCUCAAACCCCCAUAUCAGUGACGGAUGAAGAAUCUGUGUUUAGUUUAUUCGAUUUUGUGUAUCUAUGAUGCUUUUUUGUAAUUUUAAUACUUGUAUUUUUUUAAUUUAAAUUUUGUAAUAUAUUUGAGACAUUUGAUCUUAGUUGAUCCGGCAUUUGAACCAAUGGCGAUUUAAUCCAUUUUUCUGGUUUCCCUGACCAUUUGUUUUUAUUUACUUGUUUUGUGCAGGAUGAUUUGAAGGAUUGGACUAUUGAUGUGCUCACAGAUGCACUAACUCGUGCCGAAGAAACUGUCAGACACAGGCCCAAGUGAAUUCGUUUAAAAAUAGCCUCCAAUUAUAAACCAUUUGCAGCUGCCAAGUUUUGCAGUGUCACCUUCUUACGGCCGUGUGCAAGUUGUAUUUUUUGUUCGUUGUUCACCCUAGUGUUCCAGACUCACCUAAUAAUUUGUUGUGUCCGAGAAGUUAUAUGAUAUUCUUGGAAUCUUACGUGCCCACGCCACAAUAGGGACAUGUCUCCAUUUUUGCAAAGGGAAUUAGUUGCUGAUAAACAGUAGGCUUGAUCGAAAUAUUUUUAUUUUUAAUCAAAUGCAAGUUGCAUCAAAAGAUUUCAUUGUAUUAUUUUAUUUUUGGACGAAUUAUACUAAUAGUUCUUAUAGUUUUGGGACUCGUGUCA